CGGACGGGUGAGUAACACGUGGAUAACCUACCUAUAAGACUAGGAUAACUUCGGGAAACCGGAGCUAAUACCGGAUAAUAUAUUGAACCGCAUGGUUCAAUAGUGAAAGACGGUUUUGCUGUCACUUAUAGAUGGAUCCGCGCCGCAUUAGCUAGUUGGUAAGGUAACGGCUUACCAAGGCAACGAUGCGUAGCCGACCUGAGAGGGUGAUCGGCCACACUGGAACUGAGGCACGGUCCAG
rnacentral:rRNA from 1 species